UUAUUAAGGGCAAGUUACUUAGCCUCAAUAAGCCUCAAUUUCUUCAUCUGAAAAACAAGGAUUAUACUCAUCUCAAAGGAUUAUAAUGAGGAUUAAAUGUAAAGUGCUUAAUUUAUUCUAAGAGAUGGAGAGUGAGUAAACCAGAAAAUAAGUUGGAGAGCAGCUGUCGAAUAUGGCAAUUUGCAGGCUGAGAGGGUUGGAUUUGCUUAAGAAGUCUUAGAUGUUUUCAAACAGGGAUGUGACAAAUGAAGAGCUGCUGCUUCAGGACAUCGCCUAGGAGAGCUGCUCUGGCAGGAACUGGAAGGUAUGAGAUCCCCCAUGAGAAGACCAGUGGAGAAGCUACCAGAACAGCAAGCCCAGUGUACUCAGUAGCAGACUCCAUGCAGAGAGAAGGAGGUCAACAAUGCGGAACCCUCCCUUCAGGAAGUCCAUUUGAGGUGCUCACUGGACUUACAGAGUGCAUAUAUCUGGCAGUGCUCAAAGUUUUGUUCAAGGAGAAUUCACAAAACAAUGUGGCCUGAAGCCUCAACAGCCAGAUGGUGGUGCAAAUGACAGAGCAAGAGAAAAGCAGAAGAGUUGGCAGACCUGUGUUACCUGGGGCCCUAAUAACAAGAUUACACUAGGGUGAGGUAUAUUCCAAAAAUGGGACUGCUGUCCGUGAUAUAAUUUAUUUUAGCAUAUACCGAGGACACGGAGUAUCUAAGUGGUACAUGCCUUUCUGAAACUCAAGACAACUGGUAACUUACGUUUGCUGGGAUUGUGGUCAAGUCAGUCAAAAUAAAAGUGUGCUGGCAUCUUCUGUUUUCCUGAAGUUUCUACCACUGGUUUGAAGUUU